UCAGAGGGGAAACUUGGUGGCCAGUCUUUUGCCACGUCAAGCCUUCUAACCGGUCCUCCUUGAGCGCUACCUUCGCCGGCGGAGACCUCGGUCAUCAAAUCCAAAUGUCAGCGAAGCGGCUUUUACAAUCAACCCGACCUGUUCUUCAGCACAGAAUAAAAGACAGGAUGAGGAGAAUCAGUGAUGGUUGAGAAAGAGCCUGGGUGGAAUGGACAGCAAGAUGAAGAGGAGAAGGAAAAGGAGGACAAGAAAUCAGUGGCUCCAUCAGCCUCAUCAGUGCUUCAGUCCAGACCCAAGAUUGAUUCAGCAAGUGGAUGCUUUUGGGGGAUCGCAGUGAGUACAACUUGGUGUGUACAGAUGUUCUUUAAAGGUAAAAGUGAAUGAACGUGGCAUCAUCACUGCAUGAGAACCAAAAAACCAAAAAAAAAAAACACUUCUCUGCAGCAUCCAUCAGCCCAGCCCGCCUGCCCAGUGUUCAGACUACCUGUUCAGGAAGUAGUGGUUGUACAGUAGUCUGCACAUUGGUUAGGCUGGCCAGGGAAGCACAUAUCAACCCAAAAACACAAACCAUAUCAGACAAGAAGGAGAAGAAGAUGAAGAAGAAGAAGAGAGAAGGCACGCACCAGGCUGUGGGAACACCCAAACCAGCACCACCCCUCGUCCAGCUGGGCAACAAACCUAAAUAAAGUACCCAAAGGCUCCACCACAGAGGCCUGUCCUGGAUUUAUGAGUGACAUAUAUGAAGAAACAGAAGUAGAAGGUUGUUUGACAAGCAAUGUAAAGCUUUUUGUAAUGUUUGGCAUUAAAAUAGAAGCACAGUCAAGAAAAUUUGACCUUUUGAUUUUGUCAAAACUAUGAAAAAGUUUCAAUAAAGGCACUUGUAUUUCUA